AGCGAACGCUGGCGGCAGGCCUAACACAUGCAAGUCGAACGGGCACCUUCGGGUGUCAGUGGCAGACGGGUGAGUAACACGUGGGAACGUGCCCUUUGGUUCGGAACAACUCCGGGAAACUGGAGCUAAUACCGGAUAAGCCCUUCGGGGAAGGAUUUAUCGCCAAGGAUCGGCCCGCGUCUGAUUAGCUUGUUGGUGAGGUAAUGGCUCACCAAGGCGACGAUCAGUAGCUGGUCUGAGAGGA
rnacentral:rRNA from 1 species